rnacentral:rRNA from 1 species
GACGAACCGUCCAAACGUUAUUCGGAAUCACUGGGCUUACAGAGUUCGUAGGCGGUCUGGAAAGUUGGGUGUGAAAUCCCUCGGCCUAACCGAGGAACUGCGCUCAAAACUACCAGACUCGAGGGAGAUAGAGGAAAGCGGAACUGAUGGUGGAGCGGUGAAAUGCGUUGAUAUCAUCAGGAACACCGGUGGCGAAGGCGGCUUUCUGGGUCUUACCUGACGCUGAGGAACGAAAGCUAGGGGAGCGAACGGG